UACAGAGGGGGCAAGCGUUGUUCGGAAUUACUGGGCGCAAAGGGCGCGUAGGCGGCCUGCUAAGUCGAACGUGAAAUCCCUGGGCUCAACCCAGGAACUGCGUCCGAUACUGGUUGGCUUGAGUUUGGGAGAGGGAUGCGGAAUUCCAGGUGUAGCGGUGAAAUGCGUAGAUAUCUGGAGGAACACCGGUGGCGAAGGCGGCAUCCUGGACCAACACUGACACUGAUGAGCGAAAGCCAGGGGAGCAAACGGG
rnacentral:rRNA from 1 species